UCAAGUAAUUAAGUGCAUGUGGUGGAUGCCUUGGCAGUCAGAGGCGAUGAAAGACGUGAUAGCCUGCGAAAAGCUCCGGGGAGGCGGCAAAUAUCCUUUGAUCCGGAGAUGUCUGAAUGGGGGAACCCACCUACUUUAAGGUAGGUAUUGCAACAUGAAUACAUAGUGUUGCAAGGCGAACGAGGGGAAGUGAAACAUCUCAGUACCCUUAGGAAAAGAAAUCAAUUGAGAUUCCCUCAGUAGCGGCGAGCGAACGGGGAUCAGCCCAUUAAGUUAUGUGUGUUUUAGUGGAACGCUCUGGGAAGUGCGAACGUAGAGGGUGAUAUUCCCGUACACGAAAGGGCACACAUAAUGAUGACGAGUAGGGCGAGGCACGUGAAACCUUGUCUGAAUAUGGGGGGACCAUCCUCCAAGGCUAAAUACUCCUGACUGACCGAUAGUGAACCAGUACCGUGAGGGAAAGGCGAAAAGAACCCCUGUGAGGGGAGUGAAAUAGAUCCUGAAACCGCAUGCAUACAAGCAGUGGGAGCACCUUCGUGGUGUGACUGCGUACCUUUUGUAUAAUGGGUCAGCGACUUAUAUUCAGUAGCGAGGUUAACCGUAUAGGGGAGCCGUAGAGAAAUCGAGUCUUAAUAGGGCGUUUAGUUGCUGGGUAUAGACCCGAAACCAGGCGAUCUAUCCAUGAGCAGGUUGAAGGUUGGGUAACACUAACUGGAGGACCGAACCCACUGUCGUUGAAAAGCCAGGGGAUGACUUGUGGAUAGGGGUGAAAGGCUAAUCAAGCCUGGUGAUAGCUGGUUCUCCCCGAAAGCUAUUUAGGUAGCGCCUCGGACGAAUACCAUAGGGGGUAGAGCACUGUUUCGGCUAGGGGGUCAUCCCGACUUACCAAACCGAUGCAAACUCCGAAUACCUAUGAGUACUAUCCGGGAGACAGACUGCGGGUGCUAACGUCCGUAGUCAAGAGGAAAACAAUCCAGACCGCCAGCUAAGGCCCCAAAAUCAUAGUUAAGUGGGAAACGAUGUGGGAAGGCAUAGACAGCUAGGAGGUUGGCUUAGAAGCAGCCACCCUUUAAAGAAAGCGUAAUAGCUCACUAGUCGAGUCGGCCUGCGCGGAAGAUGUAACGGGGCUAAAACUAUGUGCCGAAGCUGCGGAUGUAUACUUUGUAUACGUGGUAGGGGAGCGUUCUGUAAGCCGAUGAAGGUGUGUUGAGAAGCAUGCUGGAGGUAUCAGAAGUGCGAAUGCUGACGUGAGUAACGACAAAACGGGUGAAAAACCCGUUCGCCGAAAGACCAAGGGUUCCAGUCUAACGUUAAUCGGGGCUGGGUGAGUCGACCCCUAAGGCGAGGCCGAAAGGCGUAGUCGAUGGGAAAAUGGUUAAUAUUCCAUUACUUCUGUGUAAUGCGAUGAGAGGACGGAGAAGGCUAAAUCAGCCUGGCGUUGGUUGUCCAGGUGAAAGGAUGUAGGCAUGUAUCUUAGGCAAAUCCGGGGUACUCUAUGCUGAGAUCUGAUAGCAAGCUGUACUUGUACAGCGAAGUGGUUGAUGCCAUGCUUCCAGGAAAAGUCUCUAAGCUUCAGUUACACAGGAAUCGUACCCGAAACCGACACAGGUGGUCAGGUCGAGUAGACCAAGGCGCUUGAGAGAACUCUGCUGAAGGAACUAGGCAAAAUGGUACCGUAACUUCGGGAGAAGGUACGCUGUUGUUGGUGAUGGAACUCGCUUCCUGAGCUGACGACAGCCGCAGAAACCAGGCCGCUGCAACUGUUUAUUAAAAACAUAGCACUCUGCAAACACGAAAGUGGACGUAUAGGGUGUGAUGCCUGCCCGGUGCUGGAAGGUUAAUUGAUGGGGUUAGCGUAAGCGAAGCUCUUGAUCGAAGCCCCAGUAAACGGCGGCCGUAACUAUAACGGUCCUAAGGUAGCGAAAUUCCUUGUCGGGUAAGUUCCGACCUGCACGAAUGGCAUAAUGAUGGCGGCGCUGUCUCCAGCAGAGGCUCAGUGAAAUCGAAAUCGCUGUGAAGAUGCAGUGUACCCGCGGCUAGACGGAAAGACCCCGUGAACCUUUACUGCAGCUUGACACUGAACUUUGACCUUACUUGUGUAGGAUAGGUGGGAGGCUUUGAAGCUGGAACGCUAGUUCCAGUGGAGCCGUCCUUGAAAUACCACCCUGGUAAUGUUGAGGUUCUAACUCUGUCCCGUGAUCCGGGACGAGGACCGUGUCUGGUGGGUAGUUUGACUGGGGCGGUCUCCUCCUAAAGAGUAACGGAGGAGUACGAAGGUGCGCUCAGCGUGGUCGGAAAUCACGCGUAGAGUAUAAAGGCAAAAGCGCGCUUAACUGCGAGACCCACAAGUCGAGCAGGUACGAAAGUAGGUCUUAGUGAUCCGGUGGUUCUGUAUGGAAGGGCCAUCGCUCAACGGAUAAAAGGUACUCUGGGGAUAACAGGCUGAUACCGCCCAAGAGUUCAUAUCGACGGCGGUGUUUGGCACCUCGAUGUCGGCUCAUCUCAUCCUGGGGCUGAAGCAGGUCCCAAGGGUAUGGCUGUUCGCCAUUUAAAGAGGUACGCGAGCUGGGUUUAGAACGUCGUGAGACAGUUCGGUCCCUAUCUACCGUGGGCGCUGGAAAUUUGAGAGGAUCUGCUCCUAGUACGAGAGGACCAGAGUGGACGAACCUCUGGUGUACCGGUUGUGACGCCAGUCGCAUCGCCGGGUAGCUAUGUUCGGAAGGGAUAACCGCUGAAAGCAUCUAAGCGGGAAGCCUACCUCAAGAUAAGAUUUCCCUAGGACUUUAUGUCCUCUAAAGAGCCGUUCGAGACUAGGACGUUGAUAGGUUGGAUGUGGAAGCAUAGUGAUAUGUGAAGCUGACCAAUACUAAUUGCUCGUGAGGCUUGACUAU
rnacentral:rRNA from 1 species